AGAUGUGAGGGUGAUCUGGCUGCGACAUCUGUCACCCCAUUGAUCGCCAGGGUUAAUUCAGCUGAUCUGGCUGGCUAGGUGGGUGUCCCUUUCCUCCCUCACCGCUCCAUGUGCGUCCCUCCCAAAGCUGUGCUCUGGGUCGAAGAGGACAGCCUUCCCCAAAUAGGGAUGGACCGGUCUUCAGUUGAGGGUAUGAGUAGCUGCGCUCCCCUGCUAGAUCCUCCAAACAAGCUCUCAAGGAGAAGGAGCUAUUACCUAGUGAAAUGGUACAAGUCAGUUUUCUGAAGUGACACUGCUAUUG
ensembl:misc_RNA 7SK 7SK RNA